UUAAGCGACUAAGCGUACACGGUGGAUGCCCUGGCAGUCAGAGGCGAUGAAGGACGUGCUAAUCUGCGAAAAGCGUCGGUAAGGUGAUAUGAACCGUUAUAACCGGCGAUGUCCGAAUGGGGAAACCCAGUGCAAUUCGUUGCACUAUCGUUAACUGAAUACAUAGGUUAACGAGGCGAACCGGGGGAACUGAAACAUCUAAGUACCCCGAGGAAAAGAAAUCAACCGAGAUUCCCCCAGUAGCGGCGAGCGAACGGGGAGCAGCCCAGAGUCUGAAUCAGCUUGUGUGUUAGUGGAACGGUCUGGAAAGUCCGACGGUACAGGGUGAUAGUCCCGUACACCAAAAUGCACAGGUUGUGAACUCGAAGAGUAGGGCGGGACACGUGGUAUCCUGUCUGAAUAUGGGGGGACCAUCCUCCAAGGCUAAAUACUCCUGACUGACCGAUAGUGAACCAGUACCGUGAGGGAAAGGCGAAAAGAACCCCGGCGAGGGGAGUGAAAAAGAACCUGAAACCGUGUACGUACAAGCAGUGGGAGCACCUUCGGGUGUGACUGCGUACCUUUUGUAUAAUGGGUCAGCGACUUAUAUUCUGUAGCAAGGUUAACCGUAUAGGGGAGCCGCAGGGAAACCGAGUCUUAACUGGGCGUUAAGUUGCAGGGUAUAGACCCGAAACCCGGUGAUCUAGCCAUGGGCAGGUUGAAGGUUGGGUAACACUAACUGGAGGACCGAACCGACUAAUGUUGAAAAAUUAGCGGAUGACUUGUGGCUGGGGGUGAAAGGCCAAUCAAACCGGGAGAUAGCUGGUUCUCCCCGAAAGCUAUUUAGGUAGCGCCUCGUGAAUUCAUCUUCGGGGGUAGAGCACUGUUUCGGCUAGGGGGUCAUCCCGACUUACCAACCCGAUGCAAACUACGAAUACCGAAGAAUGUUAUCACGGGAGACACACGGCGGGUGCUAACGUCCGUCGUGAAGAGGGAAACAACCCAGACCGCCAGCUAAGGUCCCAAAGUCAUGGUUAAGUGGGAAACGAUGUGGGAAGGCACAGACAGCCAGGAUGUUGGCUUAGAAGCAGCCAUCAUUUAAAGAAAGCGUAAUAGCUCACUGGUCGAGUCGGCCUGCGCGGAAGAUGUAACGGGGCUAAACCAUGCACCGAAGCUGCGGCAGCGACACUAUGUGUUGUUGGGUAGGGGAGCGUUCUGUAAGCCUGCGAAGGUGUGCUGUGAGGCAUGCUGGAGGUAUCAGAAGUGCGAAUGCUGACAUAAGUAACGAUAAAGCGGGUGAAAAGCCCGCUCGCCGGAAGACCAAGGGUUCCUGUCCAACGUUAAUCGGGGCAGGGUGAGUCGACCCCUAAGGCGAGGCCGAAAGGCGUAGUCGAUGGGAAACAGGUUAAUAUUCCUGUACUUGGUGUUACUGCGAAGGGGGGACGGAGAAGGCUAUGUUAGCCGGGCGACGGUUGUCCCGGUUUAAGCAUGUAGGCUGGUUAUCCAGGCAAAUCCGGAUAAUCAAGGCUGAGGUGUGAUGACGAGGCACUACGGUGCUGAAGUAACAAAUGCCCUGCUUCCAGGAAAAGCCUCUAAGCAUCAGGUAACAUCAAAUCGUACCCCAAACCGACACAGGUGGUCAGGUAGAGAAUACCAAGGCGCUUGAGAGAACUCGGGUGAAGGAACUAGGCAAAAUGGUGCCGUAACUUCGGGAGAAGGCACGCUGGUGUGUAGGUGAAGUCCCUGCGGAUGGAGCUGAGACCAGUCGAAGAUACCAGCUGGCUGCAACUGUUUAUUAAAAACACAGCACUGUGCAAACACGAAAGUGGACGUAUACGGUGUGACGCCUGCCCGGUGCCGGAAGGUUAAUUGAUGGGGUUAUCCGUAAGGAGAAGCUCUUGAUCGAAGCCCCGGUAAACGGCGGCCGUAACUAUAACGGUCCUAAGGUAGCGAAAUUCCUUGUC
rnacentral:rRNA from 1 species